UCCUGGAGUGUGUAAACAUGUUUAAAAGCCAAUUAGCGAAAUAUAACGUGAUCAAGUAAACAUCGACCGCCGAUACACGAUGGAACUAGUCAGAGGGGAAACAAGGAAAUCGAAGCGGACGUGAAAUUUUCAUUUCGUUAACCAUCCUAAUUUUGGGUGAAAAACUCGUGCAAAGGAAUUGCAAAUAAAACAGGCCAUAACUUAUGUGGCACGCUGAACGUUUAGCUCAUUUAUAACAGAAGAGUCUCGUCACAUUUUAACUCUUUCGGUUAAAGGUAAAUAAGAUUGUAGAUACUGACUUGAAAAAGAAGCAGACGCUGCGGCCAUGAAUCUUGCGGAUAUUCUUCGAAAAACGUUCUGCCUUCCCAGUUCAACGCUGAAAUAUUCAGAGGCACAAAAACCGGCGCACGGAGAGGAUCUGCUUUAUGAGACAUUGGUAGGGCGAACGGAUCACAUGGGAUUGGUACCAAAUUAACUCCACAAUUCUGAGCCUUUCUAAGCCAAUUUUGUAGAAGUUCGGCAACGAGCGGACCCGUACAGACAACCCACUGGAAGAUAAAUUCGAGAGACGCAUCUGGGUAAAACACACUUUGGUAACGCAGAUGUCCCCACUCGAUUCGUUCACUUUUGCCACUGAUAUCCAUAUCCAGAUUACACGAUUUGUAACGCAACAUUUGGUCAUAACGAUUCUCGUAUAGAGAGGCCACAGAUCUGAAUUCUUUAGGAUCCGCUAUUAAGAACUGAUACUUCGCAGGCUCUGGAUUAGUCAAUACCUAAAAUAAAGAGGAUAAAUAGAUG